UACGAAGGGGGCUAGCGUUGCUCGGAAUCACUGGGCGUAAAGCGCACGUAGGCGGCUUUUUAAGUCAGAGGUGAAAUCCUGGAGCUCAACUCCAGAACUGCCUUUGAUACUGGAGAGCUUGAGUCCGGGAGAGGUGAGUGGAACUGCGAGUGUAGAGGUGAAAAUUCGUAGAUAUUCGCAAGAACACCAGUGGCGAAGGCGGCUCACUGGCCCGGUACUGACGCUGAGGUGCGAAAGCGUGGGGAGCAAACAGG
rnacentral:rRNA from 1 species